AUGUUAGCGGCGGACGGGUGAGUAACACGUGGGUAACCUGCCUGUAAGACUGGGAUAACUCCGGGAAACCGGGGCUAAUACCGGAUGGUUGUUUGAACCGCAUGGUUCAGACAUAAAAGGUGGCUUCGGCUACCACUUACAGAUGGACCCGCGGCGCAUUAGCUAGUUGGUGAGGUAACGGCUCACCAAGGCGACGAUGCGUAGCCGACCUGAGAGGGUGAUCGGCCACACUGGGACUGAGACACGGCCCAGACUCCUACGGGAGGCAGCAGUAGGGAAUCUUCCGCAAUGGACGAAAGUCUGACGGAGCAACGCCGCGUGAGUGAUGAAGGUUUUCGGAUCGUAAAGCUCUGUUGUUAGGGAAGAACAAGUGCCGUUCAAAUAGGGCGGCACCUUGACGGUACCUAACCAGAAAGCCACGGCUAACUACGUGCCAGCAGCCGCGGUAAUACGUAGGUGGCAAGCGUU
rnacentral:rRNA from 1 species